UGAAUUCUUGAGAAAAGCAACCUAUUUUUACUUAUUUUCUUACUCUAUAACAUACUUUUUUUAAAAAAUAAUUUUGGAAAGACUUUAUAUUUCAUUAUAACUGUUGAAAACAUUUUAAAGGAACUUUUAAAUGACCUUGGCCUAAGUGGUUUGGUCUCAGAGAAAGUGGGAGGAGAGGCUGUCUACCAGUUCAUAAGUGGCAUAAAUGCUUUGGAAGGGUUGGGGCGGAGAGCGCAAGGAUGCAUGUUGCCGUAAUGCAGAGGAAACAGCAAGUAUUAAGCAAAAUUGCCUUUUUAAACAAUAGAAUUUGAUUAGGGAAGUGCAAAUUGAUGAAGAUUCCCUUAGAAAUAUAAUAAAUUCGAUUAUAAAGCUAGAAGUAGAGAUUGCCUGUGCUCCAUGUGCUUUGCUUACUAAUAAUGCUGCUUUAGAUAAGAAUUAUGAAAUGGAUUCUUUGAUAUUUUAUAUUACAAAAAAAAAAUUAAGGAUUUUUCUGGCUGAGGGGAACACGAUCCGGAACAAAUCAAAAGAAGAAUGGGUUUGAUUUGUUAUUUUGAGUUUGCUGAGCCCCUAGGACAUAUCUGGGCUCCUGUUGGGGGUGAUUGUUAAGUUUGUAUUCUCACCAUUGUGAAGCAACUUUGUGCAAGGUUUCAUCAGAUGAUUUCAGAGGAGAAGCUGGAAACCAAAUCUCCUGAUGCUGUACCCCUGAUCUCAGGGUAGUCUUUGAUGUCCAGAUUUAUGGGAGAGCACCGGAUGAGGAAAGAGCUCUUUAAACAGAAGAAUGCAGCAUCUCCUAGAAUGAAAGCGAGUGGCUGCACUGUCCGUGGGAUCCUUAAGUGAUCCCGGCUGGUGUCGCUUCUGGAAUGAAGAGCUUUGAUGCUUUUGCUUUUGUGGAAAAGCUAGCGGCAAGAGGAGGGAACGCUGGGUCCAUCGCAUUGACCUUCAAGUCUGAUUCUUCACCAAAACUUUUUUAUAUAAAAGGAUGCAUAGAAAUAGAUAUCUGGAAGACUUUGAAUCCUCUCCGUCCGUGGCUUAACACUUCGGUUAGGAAAGGAACCGAGGCAGGAAGCAGUUUCUGAAAGUCCUGAAAUGGAGAUUUUGGCUCUGUGAUUGGGGCUGGGAUGGCCAGUACUGAGCCCACACAGCGCAUGCUCCUCCCCUGCACCCGCGGUCUCUGUCCCGAAUCCCUCAGAGGUCCAGGCGUGGUCUCCUUAUCUUUCUUAACCGAGCACUAUAGGCAGCUGCUACUGAAUUGAUCAGAAUUCGGUAGGAGGUAAAACCUGUUUGUUUACCACAUCCCCAUACCCACUACAGUAGAUUCUAAUGGGAACUGAAAAAACGGUCUGGAUUUUUUGAGUAGGCGGCUGUUCUUGAACCGCCCAUUGGUCCUGUCUCCUAACCAGAGACCGCAGGAGAACCGCCCAUCCCCAUUACCAUCACCCUUAGGGCUUCUCCUGAGCACAUGCUGGCACUCUGCUUUCACCUCCAAGGACUUGACUCUUAUUGGGAGAGGAGAAGGGGAAGGCAGCCUGAGAUGCAUGCCAAGUGCAGUGUGUUGAAUAAAUAGCGAUUUAAGGAAGAGGAGCUGCAAUCCUAUGGGACUGAGAUCUGGGAAUGAACUAUCUUGUUCAGUAGCAGGGCCAACUUAUUUUGAAUAUGUUCAUCUCGUUGCUGAUGUGUUUAGAAGGUUAAAAAAAAAAAAAGCCUUCAUAGGGAAGUCUGGGGAAGGCAAAAGCUUAAAAUAAUUGAAUCUAAGAAGUAUCAUGGCAUGGCAAUAAUGUUCGCUGGUUAUCUACAGCCUUCUCCUCGGUUACCGACCUGUGUUCUAGAAGAGAAGCAUUAAGGUAGAUGGUCGUUCACUGAAAUAUUGGAAUUGGGCUCAGGGCAAGUGAGAGCUAUGAGGGAAUAAGUAAAUGGAUGUUUUAGUGAUCUCUUUGCCCUUGUCCUGCUCUUCCUGCUGGGGUGGGGUGGGCUGAGGAUGAUAGAAGGUUUUCUCUAAUGAUUUAGGGUCAGGGAUAUAUUGAAAAGUGUGAAUUCUUGACAUAAUUUGCGUGAGAAAUUGAACUAUAGGGGAAGUGUUUUGUGCAAGGAGAUUCCUCAUAUGGAUUAUCUUUUAAAACAGCUAACUAGAAUCCUGCAUUAUGUGGUAGAUUUCUGUAUUAUACUUUCCAAUAUUUAUAAAGUGUGGGUUUUGUUACUCUCAAUGUUUCACAUACAGUUUUGGUGUCAUGCUCCUAUAAUAAAUUACUAAAGUUAAAAAGA